rnacentral:rRNA from 1 species
CACAGCAACAAAACAAAAACGAAAUCACUAGCAUGGUAGAGAACCCAGCUAGAACUCUCCCACUACUGUGGGCUAAAUUGAAUUCUUCUUUGUCUCGAAAAAAUAUCAACUUAUUUCCUGGAAAACAAGCGAAAGCCCAGACGUUCUUUGUCUCAGAAAAAAAUAAAUUCUUUCUUGGAAAAGAAGCGAAAGCUCAGACGGAGAAGCAACAAGGCAAAGGCAGGGAGAGGAACACCGAUCCCCCACUCCACCUCACCCCGGAGAGGAGAGGAGAGAAGAGAAGAGAAGAGGAGAAAAGAAAAGAUCCGAUCCGGCGGAUCGAAGCGCAACCACCGUCUCGACGUCUCGUCUCGCCCUAUCCGUUUCCUCCGUUUCACACUCUCCUCCCUCACCCCUUCCCCCGUUCCCCUUCCUUGGUAUAAGUCCUCCCUUGCUAUUUCCGCCUCACAUCCGACCACAAAUCCGCACCCCCAGGACCAGCAGCAGCAGCCAUGACGCCCUCCGCCGUCGCCAACCUAGCCGGCGCCUCCCCGCUGCCCGCCUUCGCGCCGAGGCCCAGGUCCAGGCCCAACUCGGCCAGCCCGGGCCCGUUCGGGCCCGCGCCGCGCCGGCUCGCCGUCGCCGCCCCGCCGCGGGCCUUCUUCUCCUCCGCGCCCUACCAGCCGCCGGAGCCGGAGGGCUACUCCUCCGUCCGCGAGUACGGCCUCGUGCCCAUGGUCGUCGAGACCACCUCCCGCGGGGAGCGCGCCUACGACAUCUUCUCCCGCCUGCUCAAGGAGCGGAUCGUCUGCAUCCACGGGCCCAUCGCCGACGAGACGGCCUCGCUCGUCGUCGCGCAGCUGCUCUUCCUCGAGCUCAAGCCCAUCAGCCUCUACAUCAACUCCCCCGGGGGCGUCGUCACCGCCGGGCUCGCCAUCUACGACACCAUGCAGUACAUCCGCUGCCCCGUCAACACCAUCUGCAUCGGCCAGGCCGCCUCCAUGGGCUCCCUCCUCCUCGCCGCCGGCGCGCGCGGGGAGAGGCGGGCGCUGCCCAACGCCAGGGUCAUGAUCCACCAGCCCUCCGGCGGGGCCCAGGGCCAGGCCACCGACAUCGCCAUCCAGGCCAAGGAGAUCCUCAAGCUGCGCGACCGCCUCAACAAGAUCUACGCCAAGCACACGGGCCAGAACAUCGACAAGAUCGAGCAGUGCAUGGAGCGUGACCUUUUCAUGGACCCCGAGGAGGCGCGCGAAUGGGGGCUUAUAGACGAGGUCAUCGAGAACCGCCCGGCCUCCCUCAUGCCUGAGGGCCUCAGUGCCGUUGACCCGCCUCACCACGGUGGGGGCGCCGGCGCCAACGGCCGUGGCAGGGACAGGGAUAUGGAGGAGCCCUCCGCUGUAUGAGGGGUGGCCACGAAGGUGAAACCUUUUCCUGAGUCCGGUGGCUAUGUUGUUUGUUGUUAGAUCUAAGUUUUGAUGAUUCCUAAUACAACAGGUCAACUUGGUAUCUUCUCCCUGUUGUUUCAAUUGCCUGAACUGAGCUAUUGCUGAUAUUAUUGCAACUCGUAAAAGGGAUUUCAUUCCUUUGGUACUGAUAAAUUGAUAGUGUGUUGAAUGUCCGUUAUACGAUCAAUUUCAGGUUACAGCAUCAAAAACAUGCUGUUCUUUUUUAUGCAUAGGAUUUUCUUUGCUUUGUGUCAACAGCCAAUUAGUUUUAUGACGAUGUUUUCUUUAUAUGCAGUAUAUGAUGUACUUAGAGAUGCUUCAGUUGUCAUUCUUUUCCUGUCCUUUUAGGCUAACCAGCAUACACCAUCACUAUGGCGUUGUCCAAUGUUCUUACUCACUACUCCCUCCGUCCCACAAUAUAAGAUCGUUUUUCGAGCUUGAAAAACGAUCUUAUAUUGUGGGACGGAGGGAGUAUAAGGUUAAUUUCCAGACACUCAAGCCAAGAGGCAUUAGCAGAAGUGUAGUUUAUGUAGAGUUACUUACUUGCACUGUUAUUAGGAGCUUAGUGUUUAGAGAUGACUGGAUGGUUUAGCAUGUCUUGGAAGUGUCAAUAUUUGGUCAAGCAUUAAGCUAUACAAUUUGGAGGUAGAAUUCUUCUCCCUCUGUAAACAAAUAUAAGACGUUUUAGAGACAAGCUUGUGGUGUUGAGUUGGUUCAGAUACAAGCUAUGUGAUUCAUCCGGCGCUUCAGCCGUAGCAAACAUCCAGAAUGUGUUGUAGACUUGCAGUAUAUACCUAUGAACCAGACCAAGUUCCAUACCUAGAAACAGCGUUCUAAAGAGUGAUGCCUGUGCAGCCACCCAACUGUUAGGCACCCUGUUAUGUUGUGAUUUUGCCUGUAGGCAGAGUGAUGUGUUCUUGCAAAGUACAGCUUUCGUAAUUUGAGUUGCUCUUUUUGCUGAAUUGGAUAUAGUGGAAUAUGCAUUCUGGAUGUUUGCUCGCUUGGAAAGUGAGAUAUAUCUCAGCUCUGUUUGUCAAACCAUGGUAUUCUAUUAUUUAUUUUUAUUGUUCAACACAGGCAGUUUGCAGUAUAUUAACUGUCUACUGGAAUGUGUUGUCGAUAACAUUAUACUACCUAGAACAGCGUUCUGAAGAGUAACGCCUGUGCAGCCACUCAACUGUUAGGCACCAUGUCAUGUUGUGAUUUUGCCUGUUGGUAGUGAUAUACUUGCAAAGUGCAGCUUCCGUUAUUUGAAUUGCUCUUUUUGAUGAAUUUGGAUAUGGUAGAAUAUGCAUUCUGGACGUUUGCUCUCUUGGGAAGUGAGGUGCUACUUCCGUCUCAAAAUGUAAGACGUUUUUGUAGGCCAGACAUUUUGAGACGGAGGUAGUAUUUCUCAGCGCUGUUUGUUGAACCAUGCU